rnacentral:tRNA from 1 species
AGGCCCGUAGUGUAACGGUAGCACCGCAGAUUCUGGUUCUGCUUGUCGGGGUUCGAAUCCCUGCGGGCCUGCCA